rnacentral:rRNA from 1 species
CAGUAGCCGCGGGAAUACGUAGGUGGCAAGCGUUGUCCGGAUUUAUUGGGCGUAAAGCGAGCGCAGGCGGUCAAUUAAGUCUGAUGUGAAAGCCCCCGGCUCAACCGGGGAGGGUCAUUGGAAACUGGUUGACUUGAGUGCAGAAGAGGAGAGUGGAAUUCCAUGUGUAGCGGUGAAAUGCGUAGAUAUAUGGAGGAACACCAGUGGCGAAGGCGACUCUCUGGUCUGUAACUGACGCUGAGGCUCGAAAGCGUGGGUAGCAAACAGGAUUAGAUACCCCUGUAGUCCCUGUCUCUUAUAC